rnacentral:rRNA from 1 species
GACGAACCGUGCGAACGUUGUUCGGAAUCACUGGGCUUAAAGGGCGCGUAGGCGGCUCGCGAGGUCGGGGGUGAAAUCCCACGGCUUAACCGUGGAAGGGCCUUCGAUACCGGCGGACUCGAGGAAGGUAGGGGUGCGCGGAACUUCUGGUGGAGCGGUGAAAUGCGUUGAUAUCAGAAGGAACGCCGGCGGCGAAAGCGGCGCACUGGAUCUUUUCUGACGCUGAGGCGCGAAAGCCAGGGGAGCAAACGGG